CCAAGGUGAUAAUCCAGAGAAGCGACUUCCAAGAAAAGCAAGUGAAGCAGCCCGUACCGCAAACCGACACAGGUAGUUGGGAUGAGAAUUCUAAGGUGCUCGAGAGAUUCAUGGCUAAGGAACUAGGC
rnacentral:rRNA from 1 species